rnacentral:rRNA from 1 species
UAACGCGUAGGUAACCUGCCUUGUAGCGGGGGAGUAACUAUUGGAAACGAUAGCUAAUACCGCAUAACAAUGGGUGACUCAUGUCAUUUAUUUGAAAGGGGCAAAUGCUCCACUACAAGAUGGACCUGCGUUGUAUUAGCUAGUAGGUGAGGUAACGGCUCACCUAGGCGACGAUACAUAGCCGACCUGAGAGGGUGAUCGGCCACACUGGGACUGAGACACGGCCCAG